UCCUCAUGUCACGUUUGAAGUGGCACAAGUCAACCAACCAUUUGCGCGGUUCCAACAGCGCUACAACUGACAUCAAACCGUGUCACGUGAGGUUACCCAUGAUGCCCCUGAUGAUGUCCUUUCUGUUGUGUUUCAGACAAACCAGUCAGCGUGUCCUCUGCCUCCCCUCGUCCCUUUGUCCGUCUGCCCUCCAUCUCCUUCGUCACCGCUCAGCCCUGGACCUCCUCCCAUCCUCCUGUCUCCUCCGCUUGCUGCGUCUCGUCAUCCCCCGUCCCCUCCUGCUCCUCCUCCUCCCCCACAGCAGUCCAAGCGCCUCCUCCUGUCCGAGGACUGACGGAGACACUGCUGCAGGACUUUGAGGAGAGACGAGUCAAACUGAAGCUGGAGGAGAGUGCAUACGCGGGAAUCCAGCUGGUUGACGACGUCAACAAUGAGGUUGUUGAGUCAACUCGAGUUAUUCGACACAAAAACCAACGCGCUCUACGCUGGGAGGCUGGAGUGUUUGCCAACCAGGAGAACCAGGACCAGUGAAACCAGUAAGACCAGUGGGACCAGACCUAGGACCUGGCCCUGCAGGGGAGUGGGGGAGAUAAAGGACACGGUGUCUCCUGUCUGGUUUCCUCCUUCAGGUUAAAAUGGUUGAAAACUGGAACACAAAGAGAGCGGCUGCUCCUGAUUGGUCCUCUCUCCUUGUCCAAUCAGCUGCCAGCAGCUGGGCGGAGCCUCAGACAAAGCGAUGUGUCUGAUUCAUUUAGAAAAGAAAUAUAGAGUUACCGUGUGACGCAGAGCGGCCGUUUGUUUUCAUGAUUUAAACUGAUGCAUAAAAAAAAAACCAAGACACAAAGAAUAAAAACCAUCUUUCAAACCGUAAGACUGUCCCGCUAUCUGUCCUCAACACACGACACUGUCCCGCUAUCUGUCCUCAACACACGACACUGUCCCGCUAUCUG